GGGGCAUUAGCGCAGCUGGUAGCGCACCACAAUGGCAUUGUGGGGGUCAGGAGUUCGAAUCUCCUAUGCUCCACCA
rnacentral:tRNA from 1 species